AUUUAUAGAAAUGAGAUGUUAAUCGUUUCCCAAGAUAUCUAGUUUCUUAAGAAAAAAUUUAAUUUUUUAAAGUUAUUUGUUUUUAUUUAAUUUUUUAAGUAAAAAUAUUAACUUAUUUAUUCUUUAAGGGAUAAGCUUUGAAGUUAAUAACCUAUAAUUUAUUUUAUAGAAAUAUAAUAGUAAGCUUUAAACCAGCUAUCUUUAAGAUUACGUUUUAGUUCAUUAUUUUUUAUUUUGAUUUUAUAAAUAUUUUAGGUUUUUUAUUAAGAUUAUUAAUUUAAUUUUAAAAUUUUUGUAAUAAUGAUAGAAUUAGUAUAUUUAUUUGUAUGAAAUUUUUACCUUGUGAACUUAUUAUAAGGAACUAGGCAAAAUUGAUUUCCGCCUGUUUAUCAAAAACAUGUCCUCUUGUUUAUAUUUUGAGGUCUGGCCUGCUCACUGAGCGUAUUUUUAAAGAGCCGCGGUAUUUUGACCGUGCAAAGGUAGCAUAAUCAUUAGUCUCUUAAUUAGUGGCUGGAAUGAAUGGCUUGACGAGAAAUCAACUGUCUCUUAAUAAAUUUUUGAAUUUAACUUUUGAGUCAAAAGGCUUAAAUUCUUCUUUAGGACGAGAAGACCCUAUAGAGCUUGACAUUUUACUUUUAUAUAGUUUUUUGUUUGUCUUUCUAUAUUUAAUGAUGAUGUUUUGUUGGGGUGACAUGAAGAAUAGAUAAACUCUUCAUUAUUAUAUCAUUUAUUUAUGUUUGUUAUUUUGAUCCAUAAUUUAUGAUCAUAAGAUUAAGUUACCUUAGGGAUAACAGCGUAAUUGUUUUUGAGAGCUCAUAUCGACAAAGCAGAUUGCGACCUCGAUGUUGGAUUAAGAAAAAUUUUGGGUGCAGGAGCCCAAUGAUUAGUCUGUUCGACCUUUAAAUUCUUACAUGAUCUGAGUUCAGACCGGCGUGAGCCAGGUCGGUUUCUAUCCUAAGAUUGUUAAUCCAUAUUAGUACGAAAGGACCAUAUAAUUAAAAUAUUUUUUGUUAUAUUGAUUAAUAUUAAUUUAUUUA